rnacentral:rRNA from 1 species
UCCUACGGGAGGCAGCAGUGGGGAAUAUUGCACAAUGGGCGCAAGCCUGAUGCAGCCGUGCCGCGUGUGUGAAGAAGGCCUUCGGGUUGUAAAGCACUUUCAGCGAGGAGGAAGGUGGCGAACUUAAUACGUUCAUCAAUUGACGUUACUCGCAGAAGAAGCACCGGCUAACUCCGUGCCAGCACCCGCGGUAAUA